rnacentral:rRNA from 1 species
GAUGAACGCUGGCGGCGUGCCUAAUACAUGCAAGUCGAGCGAACAGACGAGGAGCUUGCUACUCUGAAGUUAGCGGCGGACGGGUGAGUAACACGUGGAUAACCUACCUAUAAGACUGGGAUAACUUCGGGAAACCGGAGCUAAUACCGGAUAAUAUUUUGAACCGCAUGGUCAAAUAGUGAAAGACGGUUUUGCUGUCACUUAUAGAUGGAUCCGCGCUGCAUUAGCUAGUUGGUAAGGUAACGGCUUACCAAGGCAACGAUGCGUAGCCGACCUGAGAGGGUGAUCGGCCACACUGGAACUGAGACACGGCCCAGACUCCUACGGGAGGCAGCAGUAGGGAAUCUGCCGCAAUGGGCGAAAACUUGACGGAGCAACGCCGCGUGAGUGAUGAAGGUCUUCGGAUCGUAAAACUCUGUUAUUAGGGAAGAACAUAUGUGUAAUUAACUGUGCACAUCUUGACGGUACCUAAUCAGAAAGCCACGGCUAACUACGUG